AUUUGGCUAUAACUUGUUGAUUCGUAAUGCCUGUUAAGUUAGCUCUCGUCAAUGGUGAUUGAGUCUGGGACUAGGUUAACUUGAAGGUCUCUGUUGCGGUGGCACUUAGAUUUGGGUAAUGAACUUGUUGUCUAGGGAUAAUUUAUUGAGCAUGUCAGUCACCUGUAAACUGAGGAAACGAAACUACUCAAUUACCCCAUCCUCGGGAAUUCUUUAUUUGAUUGAUUUUAUUGUUUACUCCACUGCUGUUUACUGUAUCCUGUCAUCUGCUGCUUAGUUUCUGUAAUUCUUUUUUGUUACUCGACCUUAUACUCGACCACCUAGUUGUUUGGCAGCAGACUGUGCAGUCGAGGAUCUGUGUCAUACUUUCUGUCUGUUAGUCGACCUAUCACUCGACCUCACCCAGUGCUCUGCAAAGAGCUGUGUUGGUGGAGUGUUUUAUUGUUUCUGCUUGAAUUUUUGUUUUCUGCAUGUUCACUUAGAACUGCUAGAACACACCAAAACCUGUUAUUGCUUGGCUUGACUUAGUGACUUCUGAUCACAUCUUGAUUGUUAGCAUCACACCCAUUUGGAUUGACAACCUAAAAUACUACAACGACAUGAUUGGUGUUUUAGGAUAAUUGAUUUUAAAAACCUA
rnacentral:sRNA from 1 species